GUAGCUCAGUUGGUAGAGUACUUGCCUAGCAUACAUGAAACCCUAGGUUCAAUUCCUAGC
rnacentral:tRNA from 1 species